GAUGAAGAACGCAGCGAAAUGCGAUAAGUAAUGUGAAUUGCAGAAUUCAGUGAAUCAUCGAAUCUUUGAACGCACAUUGCGCCCUCUGGUAUUCCGGGGGGCAUGCCUGUUCGAGCGUCAUUAUAACCACUCAAGCUCUCGCUUGGUAUUGGGGUUCGCGGUUCCGCGGCCCCUAAAAUCAGUGGCGGUGCCUGUCGGCUCUACGCGUAGUAAUACUCCUCGCGAUUGAGUCCGGUAGGUCUACUUGCCAGCAACCCCCAAUUUUUACAGGUUGACCUCGUAUCAGGUAGGGAUACCCGCUGAACUUAAGCAUAUCAAUAAGCGGAGGA
rnacentral:misc_RNA from 1 species